rnacentral:rRNA from 1 species
AGCAGCCACUCAUUAAAAGAGUGCGUAAUAGCUCACUGGUCGAGUGACUCUGCGCGGAAAAUAUAACGGGGCUAAGCAUGAAACCGAAGCUUGGGCUUGUACUUAGGUACAGGGGUAGGGGAGCGUCGAGUAUGGGGUGAAGUCAGAGCGGAAGCACUGGUGGACUGUACUGGAGUGAGAAUGCCGGAAUGAGUAGCGAGAAUUAUGUGGGAAUCAUAAUGGCCGAAAAUCUAAGGUUUCUUGGGGAAGGUUCGUCCGCCCAAGGUAAGUCGGGAGCUAAGCUCAGGCCGAGAGGCGUAGGCGAUGCACAUACGGUAGAAAUUCCGUAACCACCGAAACUUAAACAGAGGGACACUUCGAAAUAGCGGAACCCGGGCGUUGGUUGACCCGGGCGAAAGGGAGCGAAAUUAGAGUAGCGAAGUCCGCGAUGUUCGGAGGCGAGAAAAGCUCUGAGGUAUGCUAAGGUGCCCGUACCGCAAACCGACACAGGUAGAUGAGGAGAGAAUCCUAAGGCCAACGGGAGAAGGGUUGUUAAGGAACUCGGCAAAUUGACCCCGUAACUUCGGAAGAAGGGGAGCCCCCUACGGGGGGUCGCAGAGAAAUGGCCCAAGCAACUGUUUACCAAAAACACAGGUCUAUGCUAAAUCGAAAGAUGACGUAUAUGGGCUGACGCCUGCCCGGUGCCGGAAGGUUAAGAGGAGAUGUCAGGCAACGAAGCAUUGAAUUUAAGCCCCGGUAAACGGCGGCCGUAACUAUAACGGUCCUAAGGUAGCGAAAUUCCUUGUCAGGUAAGUUCUGACCCGCACGAAUGGCGUAAUGAUUUGGGCACUGUCUCAACAGCCCGCCCGGCGAAAUUGUAGUACUGGUGAAGAUGCCAGUUACCCGCAACUAGACGGAAAGACCCCAUGGAGCUUUACUGCAGCUUAAUACUGAAAUUCGGUAGUACAUGUACAGGAUAGGUGGGAGACUGAGAAAUACAGGCGUCAGCUUGUAUGGAGUCGCUGUUGGGAUACCACUCUUGUACUGCUGGGUUUCUAACCUGCGGCCGUGAAUCCGGUCGGGGGACACUGUUAGGCGGGCAGUUUGACUGGGGCGGUCGCCUCCAAAAAGGUAACGGAGGCGCUCAAAGGUUCGUUCAGCACGGACGGAAAUCGUGCAUUGAGUGUAAACGCAUAAACGAGCCUAACUGCGAGACCGACGGGUCGAGCAGUAACGAAAGUUGGAGUUAGUGAUCCGGUGGUAUGUGAGUGG